rnacentral:rRNA from 1 species
UACGAAGGGGGCUAGCGUUGCUCGGAUUGACUGGGCGUAAAGGGCGCGUAGGCGGUUUGUACAGUCAGACGUGAAAUUCCUGGGCUCAACCUGGGGCUGCGUUUGAUACGUGCGAGCUUGAGUGCCGGAGAGGGUCGCGGAAUUCCCGGUGUAGAGGUGAAAUUCGUAGAUAUCGGGAGGAACACCAGUGGCGAAGGCGGCGACCUGGACGGACACUGACGCUGAGACGGCGAAAGCGUGGGAGCAAACAGG